UAGAGCUCCCUUCAAUCCAA
rnacentral:snRNA from 1 species